GACGAACGCUGGCGGCGUGCUUAACACAUGCAAGUCGAACGGAAAGGCCCUGCUUUUGUGGGGUGCUCGAGUGGCGAACGGGUGAGUAACACGUGAGUAACCUGCCCUUGACUUUGGGAUAACUUCAGGAAACUGGGGCUAAUACCGGAUAGGAGCUCCUGCUGCAUGGUGGGGGGUGGAUAGUUUCGGCGGUUGGGGAUGGACUCGCGGCUUAUCAGCUUGUUGGUGGGGUAGUGGCUUACCAAGGCUUUGACGGGUAGCCGGCCGGAGUGGGUGACAGGGCACAAUGGGGCUGAGAUACGGCCCAGACUCGUAAGGGAGGCAGCAGUGGGGAAGAGUGCACAAGGGGCGGAAGCCUGAUGCAGCAACACCGCGUGCGGGAUGACGGCAGUCGGGUUGUAAACCGCUUUCGCCUGAAACGAAGCGAGAGUGACGGUAAUGAGUAAAGAAGCACCGGCUAACUACGUG
rnacentral:rRNA from 1 species